CUCAGGGAUUGAGGACUACAAUUCCCAGGAUGCUCCGCUCCUCCGCCAACGGGGAAGACGGGUCUCUUUAGUGGGCGGGUCCAUGAGAGGUUCGUCAGAGGAGAGGAAGCCCAGCCAAUGGGUGAGCCGGCCCGCAUCGGAAGCUACGGUGAUUGUGCCGAGGUGAUUGGAAUCUUUGGCGCCUUGGUUUCAGUGGUGGAUGCGUGAUGAGCGGGUACGCUGACCAAUGAAAAGGUGGAAGGGCGGAUCCAGAGUAUGUGGGCGGGAAGAGGUGCUGACUAGCUGGCUGUUCACCCAAUGAAAGGCAGAAGUCGUUGGAGGGGGUCGACCAAGGGGAGCAGAGGAGGGCGUGCGCGGCGGCGGAGCUUGUGUUAUGGCGGAGCCGGUGAGGAAGCGGGGCCCGCGGUCCCGAGGUCGCGGCGUCGGCCGAGGGGCUCGGGGGGCUCGGGGGGCCCGGGGCCGGCGUCCUCGCUCCCAGCGGUCUCCAGCCCGGCGUACUCUGGAUUCUGUGCUUGUGGACUUGGUCAGCGACAGCGAUGAGGAUAUCCUGGAGGUCGUAACUGCGAGCGGUGCCGCGGACCCGGCUGAGGUUCCGCCCCCGGAACCCCCAGUGCCGGCCGCUCCUCGGGACGACAACGACAGUGACAGUGAAGAGGCGGACGCACCGCCCGCAGGACCCCCGCGGGAACUGGUCAGGCGGCGGCGGCGGCUGCUGCUGGAUCCAGGGGAGGCACCGGUGGUUCCAGUGUAUUCUGGGAAGGUGAAAAGCAGCCUCCACCUCAUCCCAGAUCACCUAUCCCUCCUGAAACUCUACCCGCCAGGGGCUGAGGAAGAGGUGGACAUGGAAGAUUCUAGCAGCCCCCACCCUGAGGAUCCAUUUCCAGGCUCUCCCUGGAAGAAGAAACUGAGGAGUAAGGAUGAAGAAGAAGAGAAGAAAAAGAUGUUUCUGGAUCGAGACACCUCUCCGUUGCCCCCAGCUCUGCCCCCAGCUCUGCCAAGGACCAAAAGCAGGAAGCAUACUCGAGCACUCCAGAAAUUAAGGGAGGUGAACAAGCGCCUCCAGGAUCUCCGUUCCUCCCUGAGCCCCAAGCAGCAGCAGGGCCAAGACCACCAGAGCCUAGAGGAUGAGGUGGUCCUAGUGGAGGGGCCCCCCCUCCCAGAAACUCCCCGACUCUUCCCGCUCAAAAUCCGGUGCCGCGCUGACCUGGUCAGAUUGCCCGUUAGAAUGGUAAAUAUGAUGACACUCACAGCUGAGGAGCUUAGCAAGUACCUAAGGCCAGAAACUUGUGUUUGGGGUGGUGGUAUGGGAGUGGGGGGGUGGGGAAUGUCAAGGCAGAAAGGCCUUCUUUGCUUCAUGUCCCCAUCCCCAGUCGGAGCCCCUGCAGAGUGUGGUGGACCACAUGGCCGCCCAUCUCGGGGUGUCCCCAAGCAGGAUCCUCUUGCUCUUUGGAGAGACAGAGCUAUCCCCUACGGCCACCCCCAGGACCCUAAAGCUUGGCGUGGCUGACAUCAUUGACUGUGUGGUGCUAGCAAGUUCUCCAGAGGCCACAGAGACAUCCCAACAGCUCCAGCUCCGGGUUCAGGGGAAGGAGAAACACCAGAUGCUGGAGGUCUCGCUGUCUCGAGACUCGCCUCUCAAGACCCUCAUGUCCCAGUAUGAGAAGGCCAUGGGACUGUCAGGACACAAGCUCUCCUUCUUCUUCGAUGGAACAAAGCUUUCAGGCAGGGAGCUGCCGGCUGAUCUGGGCAUGGAAUCUGGGGACCUCAUUGAGGUCUGGGGCUGAAACCCCACACCCCAUUUGGAGGCCCAGCCUGGACUUGGGGAGAACAUCUCAUGGGGCUGGCAGAAGCUCGGGUCAAACGUAGCUUUCAGCUGAAGCAAAAUCAAUGAGUGACCUUUGGCCCCCUCUCCUGCUGACCCUGGUUUCAAGCCGUUAACUAUUUGGUUAGUUGUGUGGUUGUUGUUGCUGCCCCGGGUGGCCUGUUAGUCUCAUUUGGGAGUUAGGAGUGAUGUUUGUUUGAGGCACAUAAACUGAGUGGUUCCUUGGCUUGCAGGAAAAUAAAUGAUCACACACCCAUUGGCUUAAGCAUAAGCAGCUACUGAGAUGCUCUUUUGAACAACAAAGGUACUGGAUUCUUAGCCCUGGGUGUCCUCCUUGCCCCAAGCACCCUUUAGAGCCAUCCUUUUAGUGUACUCUUCCUGGUACACGCAUUUAAGGCAUAGCUGAGCACGUUCAGUCGUUUUGUUUUGGAUCUUGGGAAUAUGGUCCCAUGCAAGGAUUCUCUGGUUUUAUGGCUUUCCCUUUCUUCACAACAUUCUGUCUUUAAGCACUCAACCUAAUACGUUAAUUACUUAUCUUCGAUUAUGAAUGUAAAAUACAAUAUUGUAUGUGUGAAUAUGUGCUUUUAAUGCACAUAGUGGUGUUGUGCAAUAGAACUUGUAUUGUUUUCCCUCAGUAUGUAUUAAGAUCUAGCCCUGUUGCCUAUUCUAGACAUGGGUCAUUGCUUUAAUCUGCCUCGUGGUACUCCACUGUGGCGUCGACUGCAUUUACACACGUUGCCUUACGUGGUGGACACCUGGGUGCCUCCAACUCCUUGGCACCAUAUACAAGGCCACGAUAAACAUUCUUUUAUCCGUGAUUGUGUGAAAAAUUCUCUGGCAUACAUUCCCAGGAUGGGAUUACAGGCCAUGUAGGUUAAUUUCUUUAUGGUUUUCCAAAUUUUUCUUUAGAAUAGUGAUUGACCCACUUAGGGCUUCCUCUUUCUCCUAAUUUUCUCACUGGCACUUGGCAUUGCCCAACUUUCUAACUUUUGCCAGUCUGAUGGGUAUAAAGGGGCACUGUGCUGUGUGCUGUAAUGUACAUUCAUCUGAUCACCAUUAAUUUGUGGGGUUUUUUCACCUGUCAGCCUUCCUGGUUUCUCUUUCUGUGACCUGCUUAUUUUCUCCUGGGGGCUUCCUGUCAUUUCUGGUUUAUUUUCAGGCGUUGCUCGUAUAUUCCUGGGGAAUUGCAAAUAACUCUUGGAAUGGAAAUUUGUUUGUGUAUCUGGGGCUGUCCUUCACCAAACAAAUUCUUAACUUUAACAUAGAUGAUUUAACUAUUUUGUCAUAAAAUUUGUUGCUGUUUGAUUUCUUAUUUAAAAGUUGUUAAGGUACUUUGACUUUGCAUUUUCUUCUGUUAGCUCAUUAGUUUUUCCUUCCAUAUGGAGGCCACUAAAUAGAGCUGAAGUCCAGCUAGUGCCCCCUGGGGUGGUGCAUUAGCUGCGUCUGCUCUGAGUGGUCAAACACUUGUUCUGUUUGGUUGAUGCCAGGCUAUACUAGUUGCUAAACAUUGAACAUCACUUUUAAACUAUUUGAAAUGCACCUUUAUGAGACCUUUUUUAUACUCUUUACCAUAUAAAGAGCCAGUUUUCUCAGUACUGUCUACUAAAAAAGCCAUUGAUCUUCCACGGAUAUGUGGCAUAAUUUUAGCAAUAGUAUAUCAACUUCUUAAAAAAUGUUUUUUAUUGGAAUGUGGCAUUCCUUUGAAUUUUAUAACAUUUAAAUAAUCCAUGAUAUGGUAUAGCUGUCCAUUGUUUCAGUUCUUUUAUGUCCAUUAAUAAAUUUGAA